AUUGAACGCUGGCGGCAUGCUUUACACAUGCAAGUCGGACGAGUGGCGAACGGGUGAGUAACGCAUCGGCACGUACCGAGUAAUGGGGGAUAACUGUCCGAAAGGACAGCUAAUACCGCAUAAUAUUCGAGCGGCCGAUGUCGGAUUAGCUGGUUGGCGGGGUAAAGGCCCACCAAGGCGACGAUCCGUAGCGGGUCUGAGAGGAUGAUCGGCCACACUGGGACUGAGACACGGCCCAGACUCCUACGGGAGGCAGCAGUGGGGAAUUUUGGACAAUGGGCGAAAGCCUGAUCCAGCCAUGCCGCGUGUGUGAAGAAGGCUUUCGGGUUGUAAAGGACUGUUGUCAGGGAAGCGGUAUCUAAAGAAUAAGCACCGGCUAACUACGUGCCAGCAGCCGCGGUAAUUC
rnacentral:rRNA from 1 species